rnacentral:tRNA from 1 species
GCGGGUGUAGCUCAGUGGUUUAGAGCGCCGGCCUGUCACGCCGGAGGCCGCGGGUUCAAAUCCCGUCAUCCGCGCCA